UACGUAGGGUGCAAGCGUUGUCCGGAUUUAUUGGGUUUAAAGGGUGCGUAGGCGGCCCUGUAAGUCAGUGGUGAAAUACUCUAGCUUAACUAGAGGGGUGCCAAUGAUACUGCAGGGCUUGAGUACAGAUGAGGUAGGCGGAAUUGACGGUGUAGCGGUGAAAUGCAUAGAUAUCGUCAAGAACACCGAUAGCGAAGGCAGCUUACUGGGCUGUAACUGACGCUGAUGCACGAAAAUAUAAAGAUCAAACAGG
rnacentral:rRNA from 1 species